rnacentral:lncRNA from 1 species
CCUCCCUCUCUCACUCGCGCCGCUUUUUCUCUUGCGUACAUGGCCGAACAACCGCUACCAAGUUCACCGUCGAGAUGCCGUGGCCACCGGCCUUCCCCCAUCGCACCACCAUGUCCAGGAGCAACACCAUCAUCACCUUCAUCGCCUACGUCCACGGAUUGGAGCCGGGUCAUCAAGGAUUGAGCGCAUCGACCUCUUCUUCAUCAUCACCGACCACUGCUUCUCGGCGUCGAUCCGCGCUGCUCCGACCACCCCCGGCCUCGCCGUCUGCUCCCCCAGCUCCGCGGUGAGCAUCUCCACCGAUCCUCCCGCUUUCCCCCUUGUUUAGUCGCCGUUUGCGCCGCCCACCACUUCCCUGUGGGCUCGUGCUCGCGCUCACCGUGCCGGCCGCGCCUCGCAUGGCCGUGCGCCACCCGCGCCCUGCCUUGCCGAGGCCGCACCCUGGCCGCGUUCUGCACGCCCCUGCGUGCGCCCGGGCUUGUGCGUGGCCGGGCCCUGCCGCCCCUGCUGCCUUGGCCCCUCGCGCCCCGUGCGGCCAUAGCCGGCCGCUGCGGCUUCCUGCUGUUGUGUUCUGCAGCUGGUGCCGCUGCUGUGCUGCUCUGCUUACUGCCGUCUACGUUGAUGCUGUUUUUUUUUCUACUGCCGUUUCUGCUCUCUGAUGCUUCUUGCUGCUGCUCUUUGCUGCGCGCUCGCCCAGCUGCCCCAGCCGUUCGCUGCCGCCCCUGUUCCCGAGCGAUGCUGCUGGUCGUGGCCGUCAUACGCUGCAUGCAUACGUCCCUAGCUAGGUGAGGCACCGCUUGUGCCUCUGGCCAUGGCCGUGGUUGGUGUGUGCUAGUAUGUGUAUGUGCGUGAGCCUGUGUGGUGUUUAAUUAGAAUAUAGGAUUAGUUUAUGACUAACCUAGCGCUAAUCUCUUCCUAAUAAUAAAGCACGGAUUGACUCCGUGGGUUCACCGUCACAAUGCGCUUUCUUCUCGUGUCAUAAUACGCUUUUAUGAUUCGUAUAGACAAAAUCGUAAUAUAAACAAGGUGGUACUAAUGGUCCUUGCCCACGUAUCCGAAAAAAAUAUUCACUGAUGAAGGUAUAGAACUCACAACCUCCAGGUUAGUAAACGAAUGCUUUUAUGAUUCGUAUAGACAAAAUCGUAAUAUAAACAAGGUGGUACUAAUGGUCCUUGCCCACGUAUCCGAAAAAAAUAUUCACUGGUGAAGGUAUAGAACUCACAACCUCCAGGUUAGUAAACGAAUGCUUUUAUGAUUCGUAUAGACAAAAUCGUAAUAUAAAAUACUAAUGGUCCUUGCCCACGUAUCCGAAAAAAAUAUUCACUGGUGAAGGUAUAGAACUCACAACCUCCAGGUUAGUAAACGAAUGUCGUGGCCAACUCAACUAGCCCCUGUUGUGUGUACGAAUCAAAGUUGAUUGUGUUGUUAAAUUGUCCCACCUCGCUCCCUUACAUACAAUAUACCCAACUUAUAUACGUCUCUCAGUUCCCUCGGUAUCAGAAAGAGGUCUCAAGGAUUAUGACAGAGAAGAGAUGGUGGAAGGAAGAGAGGCUAAGGAAGGAAAUAUAUAUGUAGAGGCUAAGAAAGGAAAGAGGUGGCUAAGCUAAGGAAGGGAAAACAAGGAAGGAAAGAGACGAUAAAUAUGGGCUGCUGGAAAGAGAGGAUAAUUAACUUUCUAUAUAAGGACGG